rnacentral:rRNA from 1 species
GACGAACGCUGGCGGCGUGCUUAACACAUGCAAGUCGAACGGAAAGGCCCUGCUUUUGUGGGGCGCUCGAGUGGCGAACGGGUGAGUAACACGUGAGUAACCUGCCCUUGACUUUGGGAUAACUUCAGGAAACUGGGGCUAAUACCGGAUAGGAGCUCCUGCUGCAUGGUGGGGGUUGGAAAGUUUCGGCGGUUGGGGAUGGACUCGCGGCUUAUCAGCUUGUUGGUGGGGUAGUGGCUUACCAAGGCUUUGACGGGUAGCCGGCCUGAGAGGGUGACCGGCCACAUUGGGACUGAGAUACGGCCCAGACUCCUACGGGAGGCAGCGGUGGGGAAUAUUGCACAAUGGGCGGAAGCGUGAUGCGGAAACGCCGCGUGCGGGAUGACGGCCUUCGGGUUGUAAACCGCUUUCGCCUGUGACGAAGCGUGAGUGACGGUAAUGGGUAAAGAAGCACCGGCUAACUACGUG